rfam:Puccinia sorghi strain RO10H11247 Scaffold_3021, whole genome shotgun sequence.
GCCCGGCUAGCUCAGUUGGUAGAGCAUUCGACUCUUACGUAAGGGUCUCCCUCCCGAGGUUGCUAUCGAAUUGUCGUGGGUUCGAGCCCCACGUUGGGCG